GACGAACCGUCCAAACGUUACUCGGAAUUACUGGGCUUAAAGGGUGCGUAGGCUGCGCAGAAAGUUGGGUGUGAAAUCCCUCGGCUCAACCGGGGAAUUGCGUCCAAAACUACUGUGCUCGAGGGAGACAGAGGUAAGCGGAACUCAAGGUGGAGCGGUGAAAUGCGUUGAUAUCUUGAGGAACACCGGUGGCGAAAGCGGCUUACUGGGUCUCUUCUGACGCUGAGGCACGAAAGCUAAGGUAGCAAACGGG
rnacentral:rRNA from 1 species